CCUACGGGGGGCUGCAGUGAGGAAUAUUGGUCAAUGGACGCAAGCCUGAACCAGCCAUGCCGCGUGCAGGAAGAAGGCUCUAUGAGUUGUAAACUGCUUUUGUACGAGGGUAAAGGCAGGUACGCGUACUUUUUUGAAAGUAUCUUACGAAUAAGGAUCGGCUAACUCCGUGCCAGCAGCCGCGGUAAUACGGAGGAUUCAAGCGUUAUCCGGAUUUAUUGGGUUUAAAGGGUGCGUAGGCGGUCUGAUAAGUUAGAGGUGAAAUCCCGAGGCUCAACCUCGGAAUUGCCGCUGAUACUGUUCGGCUAGAGAAUAGUUGCGGUAGGCGGAAUGUAUGGUGUAGCGGUGAAAUGCUUAGAGAUCAUACAGAACACCGAUUGCGAAGGCAGCUUACCAAGCUACUUCUGACGUUGAGGCACGAAAGCGUGGGGAGCAAACAGGAUUAGAUACCCCUGUAGUC
rnacentral:rRNA from 1 species